CGGUCGAUUGAGUCACCCACGCCAAGCUGCAUUGCAAAACAAUGAUAAAAAUAAGUUUCUUUGACACAAGAACGUUGGCGCCAUUAUGAAUUAAUUUUAGUAAGAAGCAUUUGAGGAUCCUACCUGACCGUACUUGUUCCAUCCCCAACUGUAUACUUGGCCGUCCUCUACUUUGACACACAAAGAGCACAACAAAAAUAAGAACUUGAGCACGUACAAAUUCAAGUGGCUUAAAGGGACAUUUUAAGGUAUAAAUUUUCAUCUUGCUAAUGUGUCUCUACUAUAAGAAGUAAUCUAGAGCCACAACUUUAAGGACAGCCUGUUUGGAUGAAUGUCUAUACUGCACUAAAGUUUUCCAAAUUCUAAUUGGAUGGGCAUAUUUCAUAGUCAAAGAAAACUGUAGAAGUAAACUCAAAAAAUAUCUGAUGUGAGUUCCGUAAUGGAAAAAUUCUAAUAUUUUCAAGUUAUACCUGUCAGAAUGGCACUAUGUCGAGCCCCA
rnacentral:misc_RNA from 1 species